AUGGGCAGCGGGGGUAGCAACCUGUCGAGCCUGGCGCCCAUGACCCUGCUGCAGCCGGCGUCGGCGCUCGUGUCUACCAGGAAGCGGAUGGCGCUGCUGCAGAUCAUCUCGGCGCCGUCCUCGCCCAGACCCAGCUCCAAAUUCGCGCUCUUCCUUCGAUUUGGCCGGAGGUGGAGAAGGAGGUCGUUGAGCGAUGGGAUGGCUACAGAGGGGGGGAGGAGGUCAGCCCCGUGCGCGUCGCCGGGGGCCGCGGAGGCGUGGGCCAGGGAUGGCCACCACGCACGGGGAGCUCCUUCCAUGGCUGGGGUGGUUGGACGCCAUCCGCGCUCACCACGAACGAGGCAUGGUCGCCAUCCACCAGCUCGUGUGCGGCCGGUGCUGCUCGCAGCUGCGACUGCUUGCGCCCGUCCGCGCUCUAGCGGCCGCUGCAGCCAUGACAGUCCGGUGCUCUUCCUCUCCUCCCGUGACAAGCCAUGGCAGCUCGUGCUCCAGGACGAAGACAACCUGCUCGAGGAAAUGCCCCAAAGAAAUCUGUCUUCAGAGAGAAAAGGCCAUGCCCAUGAUCAUCGCAACUACUCAAAGCCUCACCGACCCCUUUUUUACACAAGGACGAAGACUCUUGAUGCCACAAAUUUUCUGAAAGGAACUUGUCCAACACUGUUGUGCUGCAUUUCCGAGAUAUUCUUGCGCCGCUUUAGCUGCAGCUGCUGCAUUGCAUGCAUGAUGAGCGGUUUGCAGAUUGCACCGCCGAGCUGCUCAUCAGUUUCUCCUCUCCGAUGGAAGCACGGAGCCGAUGCCCCUUUUCACCGGACCUUCCCGACGCAACGCGGCAACCGCCGUGACUCUGAUGAUGCAACCAUCUAUCUUUCCCUUAUUUCCCUGAGGAGCAAGAGCAAAGCUGCUGCAGCAGUUAAAAAAAUAUGCUCACUGAUCAAGCAUCACACCUCUCUUUUUCCCGCUAAUUUUGGCAAAGCGAAAGCAAUUAGUCGUUGGUGA
rnacentral:rRNA from 1 species